GACGAACGCUGGCGGCGUGCUUAACACAUGCAAGUCGAACGGAAAGGCCCUGCUUUUGUGGGGUGCUCGAGUGGCGAACGGGUGAGUAACACGUGAGUAACCUGCCCUUGACUUUGGGAUAACUUCAGGAAACUGGGGCUAAUACCGGAUAGGAGCUCCUGCUGCAUGGUGGGGGUUGGAAAGUUUCGGCGGUUGGGGAUGGACUCGCGGCUUAUCAGCUUGUUGGUGGGGUAGUGGCUUACCAAGGCUUUGACGGGUAGCCGGCCUGAGGGGGUGACCGGCCAAAUGGGGACUGAGAUACGGCCCAGACCCCUAGGGGAGGCAGCAGGGGGGAAUAUUGCACAAGGGGGGGAAGCCGGAUGCAGCAACGCCGCGGGCGGGAUGACGGCCUUCGGGUUGUAAACCGCUUUCCCCUGUGACGAAGGGGGAGUGACGGUAAUGGGUAAAGAAGCACCGGCUAACUACGU
rnacentral:rRNA from 1 species